UACGUAGGCAGCAAGCGUUGUUCGGAGUUACUGGGCGUAAAGAGUGCGUAGGCGGUGUCGAAAGUUUGGCGUGAAAUCUCCCGCUUAACUGGGAGGGUGCGCCGAAAACUGCGGUGCUGGAGUGUGGGAAAGGCAAGCGGAAUUCCUGGUGUAGCGGUGAAAUGCGUAGAUAUCAGGAGGAACACCGGUGGCGAAGGCGGGUCUCUGGGCCGAUACUGACGCUGAGGAGCGAAAGCGUGGGGAGCGAACAGG
rnacentral:rRNA from 1 species